rnacentral:tRNA from 1 species
CAGUAAAAAGCCAAAAUAGAGGCAUUUAACUGUUAAUUAAAUAAUUGUAUUAACAUACUUUACUGG